CAUGGUCUUAGCUUGCUAAGACUGAUGGCGACCGGCGCACGGGUGCGUAACACGUAUGCAACUUGCCUCACAGAGGGGGAUAACCCGUCGAAAGACGGACUAAUACCGCGUACACUCUAUGUUGGGCAUCCAAUGUAGAGGAAAUGAAAUUCGCUGUGAGAUAGGCAUGCGUCCCAUUAGCUAGUUGGUGAGGUAGCGGCUCACCAAGGCGACGAUGGGUAGGGGAACUGAGAGGUUGAACCCCCACACUGGUACUGAGACACGGACCAGACUCCUACGGGAGGCAGCAGUGAGGAAUAUUGGUCAAUGGGCGAGAGCCUGAACCAGCCAAGUCGCGUGAAGGAUGACUGUCUUAUGGAUUGUAAACUUCUUUUAUACGGGAAUAACAAGAGCCACGUGUGGCUCCCUGCAUGUACCGUAUGAAUAAGCAUCGGCUAACUCCGUGCCAGCAGCCGCGGUAAUACGGAGGAUGCGAGCGUUAUCCGGAUUUAUUGGGUUUAAAGGGUGCGUAGGCGGCCUGUUAAGUCAGCGGUGAAAUCUAGGAGCUUAACUCCUAAAUUGCCAUUGAUACUGGCGGGCUUGAGUGUAGAUGAGGUAGGCGGAAUGCGUGGUGUAGCGGUGGAAUGCAUAGAUAUCACGCAGAACUCCGAUUGCGAAGGCAGCUUACUAAGGUACAACUGACGCUGAAGCACGAAAGCGUGGGUAUCAAACAGGAUUAGAUACCCUGGUAGUCCACGCAGUAAACGAUGAUAACUGGGCGUAUGCGAUAUACAGUAUGCUCCUAA
rnacentral:rRNA from 1 species